rnacentral:lncRNA from 1 species
CUAUCGGUAAAUAAUUCUUAUAGUGUAAAAGUUAAUUAUAUUCAUAUAUACUAUAAAGUAAAUAACCAAAGCAUAAAAUUACUUUUACAGUGACACGUGGGCCCAUAUCUAACCAAAAUGCAUCGGAAGCUGAAAACCUGCAGCUUUUGCCGAUUCAAGUCCAAAUGAAGGUCCUUGUCAAAGUCAGCUAACUAUGGAAUUCCCCGAGCCUGAAAUGUGAGGAAAGAAGGGUGGUGAGAUUAUAAAAUCCCAGUGAGUAAACAGACACCAUUUAAACUAUCUAAAGGCGAGUAAAUGGAGACGAAUUAAAAUAUCCUUUUCCAAUAUAUGUUUCAUAACAUGAAUAUUCAGUUUACUCAAUUAAUCAACAUGGCUUAUAUAUCUCACAAAACUUGGCACCUGCCAAAAUCAUUCUCGGGGAUACCUUGGCCUAGGCAUCUAACCGAGACCACCAAGGCUGUUAAAUGUCUUUACAUCUGAAAUUCUAGCCAUGCCUUGGCGUUGGCUGAGUCUCACUCUCACGUAGUGCCCACGUGAAGUGCACUCAAAUCUUUACCUUUAGAGACACCCUUCACACGGCUCUCCGAUCGAGGUAAGGUAUAUCUGAUUCUGUGCCCCCUCUCUUAGGCUGGUCCACAGAACCUCCACUGUAGGGAUUAUGGAUUAUUUUAUCUACCACCUAAUUUAUAAAAUCUUUAUCUGCAUGACAUGGCAAUUUAUCGUAAUAUAGCCUCUCAAGGUUGAAUACAUAGUAUGUAUAUAAUUUUGAUACAAAUACUGACUUUGCCAUUCAUGCUCACAUAUUGCUAUAAGCCAUAUAAUUUAAAACAUAAUUUAUAACACAAGCAGGCAGUCUCCAAUUACUCUAUUUUCAAAACCAGUAUUCAAUUUUCCAAAAAAUUGAUCAAAUCAAUUUAUAAAAUCACAGUUUUUCCUAAAACAUAGCAAUUUACCAUUUAAUCCCAUUUUUCAUAAAAUCACACAAUUGUAUAAAACUACUCUAGAUAAUUAAGACGAUAAUAAGUUUACUCACAGUUCAAGGAGUCGAUGUACUCCUAAUCCCAGUCUCCAAGCACAAUCUCUGUACUUUUACCAGUGUAAUUUACUCACCACCU